CUGCAUAUGCAUUUAUUUAUUUAUUAAUUAAGGAUGGAGAUUAUGAAUGAGACCUGUCAUUAGUUUUUGAAAUUCUUCCCUUUUUUACUUUUGGCAAAAAGUUCAGAUUGAAACUAUGAUCCCUCAUUCAAAAAGAUGACCAACAAUUUUACAGGUCAGGAGCCAAUCAAAUACAAGGCGAUUGUAGAUCUGCAUUCAACUUCAUGGAGAAGGCUCUUGGAGAUCUUUACCCAAGAAUGCAGGAUUGCUGAGGUGUGGGAAGAGUUGCAGACUGAGGUGGAUAAAUUAUCUGAGGGCUGACUUGAAGAGAGGGAACAUCACUGCUGAGGAGGAAGAAACCAUUGUUAAGUUACACACUGCUUUGGUAAUAGGUGGUGUUUUGCUGAUAGAGCUGUUUGGUGGUUGUUUUUGGUUCUGUUAAGCAAGAGCUACAUAGCCCUUUUUCUCAGUUCGCUUCUUUUCCAAACUCAAGCCCCUUCAGCUCUCAAACCCGCGUUCACUUCUCAAGCCAGAAAAGCCCCUUAAGCUCUCAAACCAGUGUUCACUUCUCAAGCCAGAAAAGCCCCUUCAGCUCUCAAACCAGCGUUCAAUUCUCUAGCCAGAAAGAAAGCCGCGUUCACCAAAGAGAAGUGGGAGAGAGAGAGGCCUUAGAGAUCAUAGUCGUCUUCUCUAAUUCUCGGGCACGGGUACUUUCAAGGUAAGCCUGCAUAGUUCUCAAUGGGUUGGGUUUUAAAUUUCCCGUCUAAUCAUUUAGGAUUAGGGUUAUUUCUUACCCUCCGUCCAUUCCUCAAUCUGGCACAAGUUUUUGUAAUUUUUUUGCCUGCAUAGUUCUCAGUGGGUUGGGUUUUAAAUUUCCCAUCAAAUCAUUUAGGAUUAGGGUUAUUUCUUAACCUCCGUCCAUCCCUCAAUCUGGCACAAGUUUCUGUAAUUUUUUUUAUUCACUUAAUUAUGAUUCAAUAUGUAUAAUGGGUUGAUUGUAUUAUAUGUUUUUCUCUAUGCUGGAAAUUCUGUUUAAUGGGUUUGUCAGAAGUUUCUGGACCUGAUUGGUUGAUUUUGGUUUUUCUUUCUAUAAGAAUUUGGUUUUAUGCUUUUUUGUUGGGAAAAUCUGACUGAUGCAAUCAACAGCUGUUUAAAUAUGGAAUGCGAGAUGAAAGUAAAUAGAGAAAUUACUCGAGAAUUUGUAAUGAUUUUGCUGCUGUAAUGGGUUAUUAAUUUGUUGUUGUGAUGAUAGGUAGAGUAUUAACAAUACUUAGAACUGAAAAAUCACUUUAUCUCUUAAUUACUAAGACAACAAAACUUGAGUACGUGCUACUUAAUCCAAUAAUAUACUUAAAAAGGUUAGAACUAAAGAAUCACUUUAUAAUACUUCAACUGAUCUGCUACUUUUAUUGGAUUCCUGGGUAAUUUUUAAAUCACUUUAUCUCUUAAUUACUAAGACAACAAAACUUGAGUACGUGCUACUUAAUCCAAUAAUAUACUUAAAAAGGUUAGAACUAAAGAAUCACUUUAUAAUACUUCAACUGAUCUGCUACUUUUAUUGGAUUCCUGGGUAAUUUUUUCUUCUUCUUUUUUUUACUUUCAUACCAUAUUAGUACAUUUUUUCUGAUUAAUUAAGGUUCGAGAUUAUGAAUGAGGACUUUGUGAUGAGUUUUUGAAAUUCUCCAUUUUUUACUUUACAGGAAAAAAUGGAAAAUUGUUAUUGAUUAUAUUAGUAUAAUUUGUUUAGGCAGUCUUUCUGGGAUUUUGUUGCUUGCUGAGUUUAUUUUUUAUGUUUUUCGUUUUGAAUCAUUAAAAUAUGCCCAAUGUUUUCACAUAACAAGCAGCACAUAAAACAUGUUAUUAGUUUAUUUUUUGUAACUUAAGCUUGCUAGACUAUAUAAAUAGUACCAUUUUCCCUGCAUAUUUUCACGACUUUAUACACAUUUCACACAAUUUCAAAACCCGCAGCAUUGCGCGGGCACCAUUGCUAGUAAACUACUAGAGUUUAUAACUAAUCGAAGCUUAAUUAUAUAGAUAGUGCAUUAUAUAAAGUACUUAAACAUUGAGAAGAAAUAACAUAAAAUUAGACGAUUUAUCAAAUUAGAGUGAUUUAAAAAAUUAGAGUGAUUUUUUUAGACGAUUUAGAUUGUUGAAAUACAAUGCACGAUGGGCUCUAAAAGGGUGUCCCCCAAUUAAACCUCUCUUAUCUCCUAAAAGAAUAUCCCAAUUUACAUUUGAGAAGUUUGUAAGAAAUGUAUAUUACUUCCCUUCCCUUAUCCUUGUAAGAAAUGCAAUCACCGCUAUAAUACACCACCAAUGUUUUUAGUAAGGGUGAGAACACUUUUCUACUGUAAUUCAAACCGAAACUGAAAUAUCAAAUUGACUAAAUUGCACAGAUGCUCCUUGUGCGUCUUGUGGUUUGUCCAUAGUGUAUAUGUUCAAUUUUAGUCCACUGUGCGCAUUGCGUGGAAGGAUUAAAGGGUAAGUUCAAUCCCUUGGCCAUAGCUUGUGGUUUGUUCAUAGCUUUCUCAUGUUUGUGGAUAAAAGGUCAGUUCAUCCCUUGACCAUGUUCACUUACCAUCUGCAUGUUAACAUGUUAAUCACAUUCUACCCUAUUCAUUUUAAUUGCAUGAGGACAAUGGAUGCAUAUGAUUUCAAUUAUUAAAUACCCCCUCCCCCUGCCCCUCAAGUAUUGCAUCUUUCUUUCUUGAUCGUAGUUUCCAAAAUUUUUACUUGCUAGUUGCUAAUGUAAAUUUUUUAGUUCUUUUCUAAUUAUAUAUACCUUUUUUAACGUGUGAAGGGGCGGAAUCGUGGAUUAACAACUUUACCUUCCACGGCUUAAGUUUUACCAAAUCACAAAGGUUAGCAUCGUCCUCCUUAGUCUCCACAGCAACUUUUGAUUUAGACCUAAGAGAAGCUAUGGACUCUUCCAUGGCCUCUUGUUGUUUCUUCAACCUUUCCUCCAUGUCUUUCAAUAUAAUUUCAUUAGCCCUCUUCUUUGAUUCACAAACUUCCUUCUUGAGUGACUCGGACAUGUCAGAAACUUCCUUCUCCAAUGAGUUGCACCCUCCCGUUCUUCUCACCGCAUCCUUUAGCUUCGGCCAUGUUCAUGUUAAACGUGUGGUCAUCUGAAACAAGUUUCUGACAUGUCCAAGUCACUCAAGAAGGAAGUUUGUGAGUCAAAGAAGAGGGCUAAUGAAAUUAUAUUGAAAGACAUGGAGGAAAGGUUGAUGAAACAAGAAGAGGCCAUGGAAGAGUCCAUAGCUUCUCUUAGGUCUGAAUCAAAAGUUGAUGUGGAGACUAAGGAAGACGCUGCUAACCUUUGUGAUUUGGUGAAACUUAAGCCGUGGAAGUGCGCAUAGUGGACUCAAAUUGAACAUAUAUACUAUGGACAAACCACAAGACGCACGAGGAGCAUCUGUGCAAUUUAGUCAAUUUGAUAUUUUCAGUUUUGGUUUGAAUUACAGUAGAAAAGUGUUCCCACCCUUACUAAAAACAUUGGUGGUGUAUUAUAGUGGUGAUUGCAUUUCUUACAAGGAUAAGGGAAGUAAUAUACAUUUCUUACAAACUUCUCAGC